CUGUUUCUUUAUUUCAACGUUUUUGAGUUUAUACUAGAGAAGACAAACAAACACUUGAACCAGAACAUAUUUUUGAGGCUUUUAGGUGCUUCACCUUACCUUGGUUUGAAGAGUUUCAGUUACAAGUCAUGAUGAGAGUUUUGAAGACUUCAUACAAGUUGUGAAAUUGGUUAUCAUUUGUUUGAGAAGUUAGGAAAAUGUAGAUUAUUAUUUUCCUAAAAAGUUGUGUAAACAAUAGCGUGCAUGUGCAUUGUGGUUAUAUUGCUACAAAUGUGAUGUUAUUACAUAUUUUCUAAUAAUAUACCAAUUUUAGAUUUGUAAGUUCUUAUUUGUAUAAUUAAAGCAUGAAUU